AUUGAACGCUGGCGGCAUGCCUAACACAUGCAAGUCGAACGGAAGCAUGGUGUUUGCUGCUGGAUUGAUGGGCGGAGGGGUGAGUGAUGCCUAUAAAUCUGAAUGGUCGUGGUGGAUGACGUCCGGAAACGGGCGCUAAUACUGCAUCCGCCCAGGACGUGAGAGUGGGAGAGCUUGGGACCUCACGCUCUCACAUUAGGCUAGGUCGGAUUAGCUAUUUGGUGGGGUAAAGGCCCACCAAGGCGACGAUCAGUAACUGGUCUGAGAGGAUGAUCAGUCACACUGGAACUGAGACACGGUCCAGACUCCUACGGGAGGCAGCAGUGGGGAAUUUUGGACAAUGGGCGAAAGCCUGAUCCAGCCAUGCCGCGUGUGUGAAGAAGGCCUUCGGGUUGUAAAGCACUUUAAGCUGGGAGGAAGGGGAGCAAGUUAAUACCUGGGUUCUAUGACGUUACCAGAAGAAUAAGGACCGGCUAACUUCGUG
rnacentral:rRNA from 1 species